UACAGAGGUCCCAAGCGUUGUUCGGAUUCAUUGGGCGUAAAGGGUGCGUAGGUGGCAUGGUAAGUCGGGUGUGAAAGCCCCGGGCUCAACCCGGGAAUUGCAUUCGAGACUGCGUAGCUAGGGUGCGGAAGAGGGAAGCGGAAUUUCCGGUGUAGCGGUGAAAUGCGUAGAUAUCGGAAGGAACAUCAGUGGCGAAAGCGGCUUCCUGGUCCAGCACCGACGUUCAGGCACGAAAGCGUGGGGAGCAAACAGG
rnacentral:rRNA from 1 species